rnacentral:rRNA from 1 species
GAGUUUGAUCCUGGCUCAGGAUGAACGCUGGCGGCGUGCCUAACACAUGCAAGUCGAACGGGAAUCUUCGGAUUCUAGUGGCGGACGGGUGAGUAACGCGUAAGAAUCUAACUUCAGGACGGGGACAACAGUUGGAAACGACUGCUAAUACCCGAUAUGCCGCAAGGUGAAACCUAAUUGGCCUGGAGAAGAGCUUGCGUCUGAUUAGCUAGUUGGUGGGGUAAGAGCCUACCAAGGCGACGAUCAGUAGCUGGUCUGAGAGGAUGAGCAGCCACACUGGGACUGAGACACGGCCCAGACUCCUACGGGAGGCAGCAGUGGGGAAUUUUCCGCAAUGGGCGAAAGCCUGACGGAGCAACGCCGCGUGAGGGAGGAAGGUCUUUGGAUUGUAAACCUCUUUUCUCAAGGAAGAAGUUCUGACGGUACUUGAGGAAUCAGCCUCGGCUAACUCCGUGCCAGCAGCCGCGGUAA